AGGGUUCGAUUCUGGCGUCAGGAUUAACGCUGGCGGCGUGCCUAAUACAUGCAAGUCGAAUGGUAGUAGCAAUACAAACCAUGGCGAACGGGUGAGUAACACGUAGGCAACCCAACUUUAAGACGAGGAUAACCGUUGGAAACGACGGAUAAUACUGGAUAGGACAUCACAAAGGGCAUCCUUAGAUGUUUAAAGGUUACCAUGCCACUUAGAGAGGGGCCUGCGGCGCAUUAGCUAGUUGGUGAGAUAACAGCCCCACCAAGGCGAUGAUGCGUAGCCGGACUGAGAGGUUGAACGGCCACAAUGGAACUGAGAACGGUCCAUACUCCUACGGGAGGCAGCAGUAGGGAAUUUUCGGCAAUGGGCGGAAGCCCUGACCGAGCAACGCCGCGUGAACGAAGAAGUUAUUCGUAAUGUAAAGUUCUUUUAUCUGGGAAGAAAAAACAAAUUGACGGUACCAGAUGAAUAAGCUCCGGCUAACUACGUGCCAGCCGCCGC
rnacentral:rRNA from 1 species